CGAAUGCUGACAUAAGUAACGAUAAAGCGGGUGAAAAGCCCGCUCGCCGGAAGACCAAGGGUUCCUGUCCAACGUUAAUCGGGGCAGGGUGAGUCGACCCCUAAGGCGAGGCCGAAAGGCGUAGUCGAUGGGAAACAGGUUAAUAUUCCUGUACUUGGUGUUACUGCGAAGGGGGGACGGAGAAGGCUAUGUUGGCCGGGCGACGGUUGUCCCGGUUUAAGCGUGUAGGCUGGUUUUCCAGGCAAAUCCGGAAAAUCAAGGCUGAGGCGUGAUGACGAGGCACUACGGUGCUGAAGCAACAAAUGCCCUGCUUCCAGGAAAAGCCUCUAAGCAU
rnacentral:rRNA from 2 species